rnacentral:rRNA from 1 species
AACGCUAGCUACAGGCUUAACACAUGCAAGUCGAGGGGCAGCAUCAUCAAAGCUUGCUUUGAUGGAUGGCGACCGGCGCACGGGUGAGUAACACGUAUCCAACCUGCCGACAACACUGGGAUAGCCUUUCGAAAGAAAGAUUAAUACCGGAUGGCAUAGUUUUCCCGCAUGGGAUAAUUAUUAAAGAAUUUCGGUUGUCGAUGGGGAUGCGUUCCAUUAGGCAGUUGGCGGGGUAACGGCCCACCAAACCGACGAUGGAUAGGGGUUCUGAGAGGAAGGUCCCCCACAUUGGAACUGAGACACGGUCCAAACUCCUACGGGAGGCAGCAGUGAGGAAUAUUGGUCAAUGGACGAGAGUCUGAACCAGCCAAGUAGCGUGAAGGAUGACUGCCCUAUGGGUUGUAAACUUCUUUUAUACGGGAAUAAAGUUAGCCACGUGUGGCUUUUUGUAUGUACCGUAUGAAUAAGGAUCGGCUAACUCCGUGCCAGCAGCCGCGGUAAUACGGAGGAUCCGAGCGUUAUCCGGAUUUAUUGGGUUUAAAGGGAGCGUAGGCGGGUUGUUAAGUCAGUUGUGAAAGUUUGCGGCUCAACCGUAAAAUUGCAGUUGAUACUGGCGACCUUGAGUGCAACAGAGGUAGGCGGAAUUCGUGGUGUAGCGGUGAAAUGCUUAGAUAUCACGAAGAACUCCGAUUGCGAAGGCAGCUUACUGGAUUGUAACUGACGCUGAUGCUCGAAAGUGUGGGUAUCAAACAGGAUUAGAUACCCUGGUAGUCCACACAGUAAACGAUGAAUACUCGCUGUUGGCGAUAUACAGUCAGCGGCCAAGCGAAAGCAUUAAGUAUUCCACCUGGGGAGUACGCCGGCAACGGUGAAAACAAAAGGGAAUUGACGGGGGCCCGCACAAGCGGAGGAACAUGUGGUUUAAUUCGAUGAUACGCGAGGAACCUUACCCGGGCUUAAAUUGCAACUGACUGAACCGGAAACGGUUCUUUCUUCGGACAGUUGUGAAGGUGCUGCAUGGUUGUCGUCAGCUCGUGCCGUGAGGUGUCGGCUUAAGUGCCAUAACGAGCGCAACCCUUAUCGAUAGUUACUAGCAGGUCAUGCUGAGGACUCUAUUGAGACUGCCGUCGUAAGAUGUGAGGAAGGUGGGGAUGACGUCAAAUCAGCACGGCCCUUACGUCCGGGGCUACACACGUGUUACAAUGGGGGGUACAGAAGGCAGCUACACGGCGACGUGGUGCUAAUCCCGAAAGCCUCUCUCAGUUCGGAUUGGAGUCUGCAACCCGACUCCAUGAAGCUGGAUUCGCUAGUAAUCGCGCAUCAGCCACGGCGCGGUGAAUACGUUCCCGGGCCUUGUACACACCGCCCGUCAAGCCAUGAAAGCCGGGGGUACAAGAAGUACGUAACCGCAAGGAGCGUCCUAGGGUAAAACUGG